CAAAGUGAAACUCAAGACCUAUGAGUAGAGUGGCUCUCAGAACGGCUGUUGGUCCUUGUUUCUACAUGAAGCUGAUACCCUCAUAGACAUGCCAAAGACUGGCAGCAUCAUAGCGGUCAGUGUCAAACCAGAGAAAGCCCUUGAGAUGUCAGCAGCUCCAGUCAGGUAGCACCCGGGGUACCAGACGAAAUGUGCCUGCCUCCUAUACCAUCUUAAAUGAAGCCAAAUCUGAACACCACAGUACGAGCCACGCUGGUAGAACUUCUGGUCCACACUGCAAUGCUACAGAUUAGACGGCGAACAUCCAUUCUUAGUCUGCACUAAAAUGUUCACAGAGCAUAUAAUCAAGUCUUUCAAAAACACAGACAUGAAGAGGCAGUCUCGUGUAAGCUUUAGAUGAGUGUUCCUCCAAUGCCAACUUGAAGUCACGAACAGUGCAAUCUACUCAUUCUAGGGCAUAAAACAUGUACUCCGCCAGCACAGAAAUACUUCCACAUGCCAGAAAUAAAGAACAGAUGUGCC